rnacentral:rRNA from 1 species
CGGAACGUGCCCAGUCGUGGGGGAUAACGCACCGAAAGCUGUGCUAAUACCGCAUACGAUCUACGGAUGAAAGCGGGGGAUCGCAAGACCUCGCGCGAUUGGAGCGGCUGAUAUCAGAUUAGCUAGUUGGUGGGGUAAAGGCCUACCAAGGCGACGAUCUGUAGCUGGUCUGAGAGGACGACCAGCCACACUGGAACUGAGACACGGGCCAGACUCCUACGGGAGGCAGCAGUGGGGAAUUUUGGACAAUGGGCGCGUGCCUGAUGCAGCAAUGAUUGCGUGAAGGAUGAAGGCGUUCGGGUUGUAAAGUGUUUUUGUACGGAACGAAAA